rnacentral:lncRNA from 1 species
AUUUGUACUCUGUUGUUGUUCUAUAUUUCUGUGCUGGUAUGAAUUUGUACUAUCUGAGGGUAUGGAUUUGUACUAUCUGAGCUAGGGAUUUGCACGUGAUUACCUUUCUGGCACUAUCACCGAUGUACGUAGGCUUGAAUUCUUAGAAAUGGGAAUUCCGGUCCGUUUCACGCAUGAAAGUAUGCUAUUGCAAGAUUGUUGAACAGAUCAGUUGUAUGACUUACUAUAUCCUACGCGGUAGCACUUUACUAUAAUCAUUGCGGGUGCCCUCAGAUGGAGGCGGGCAUCCUCCCCUGAAAAUAAUAAAAUGGUCAAAAUCAGCCAACCUUCAAUUGUUGUGAUUUCUCCCUGAGGUAGGAGAAUUGGGGACUUGGAGUAGAUCAACACGGGAGGAACCGUUGGAAGGAAGGAAGGAAGGUUCAGUUCGGGAUUCAGAGUUUCAGCACGCUCGCCAUGGCAUCGAUCUGCUUGGAGAACAACAUCACGCAGCGAGGGCGCCCAAAAACCAAGGGAAGGACGGCAUGGCAGUACUGCAAAGGAGGCAGAGCAGCGAAGCAGAGGAGAGCGGUGAGUUGUCGAGCUAGCGAGACCGACGGAGGUGUUUGGACUUUUGUUGAUGAGAGCAUCUGCAAAUCCUUCGAUUAUUGGUGCCAUCCUCUACUGUGUCAUGAGAGUAUUAUCUACUCAUUUAAACACCAAUAUAUAAAAACUUUGGCUUUUAUCGAAAAGAAAAAAAAAGAUUCAGCCCCGAUGUGAUCCCACCAGCCACCACGCGUUUCACGUGGUAACAGUACUUCAAGUUUAUCUUCAAGUUUCAGACGCACCAUCCACAGACAUGCUGAUUGUCGUCGGCCCCAAUGAAUUAUUGAAGUACAUCCCAUGCGUGCAGCGCGUGUAUAAACACCGCCCUCCGGCAGGCUCCUCCAUCACCACAUCCACCACCUCCUCUCCUCAUCCUGCACUCGACUCUCCUCGUCGUAGUAGUGUUCGAUCGUGUGUGUGCAAGUACAGCAAUGGGGUUUGGGCGGAAGGUUGGAGAGGGUGGGGUUAGCAGGUGGCUCCUCCUGCUCGCCGGGGUGCUGCUGGCGGUGGCUGUCACGGUGACGGCCGGUGACGCUGCGGAGGAGGGAGCCACCGCUGGCGACUACAGCCUCCACGGUAGCCAAGCUAUGUGCGAGCUCAAGUGCCAGCAUCAUCAUGAUCCAGUGAACAAGAAGCGGUGCGUCGACUUCUGCAUACGGUGGCAGCUAGCGCUACCGUUUGACGCUGCGGAGGAGGGAGCCACCGCUGGCGACGACAGCCUCCACGGUAGCCGAGCUAUGUGCGAGCUCAAGUGCCAGCAUCAUCAUGAUCCAGUGAACAAGAAGCGGUGCGUUGACUUCUGCAUACGGUGGCAGCUAGCGCUACCAUUUGAUGCUGCGGAGGAGGGAGCCACCGCGGGCGAGGACAGCCUCCACGGUAGCCGAGCUAUGUGCGAGCUCAAGUGCCAGCAUCAUCAUGAUCCAGUGAACAAGAAGCGGUGCGUCGACUUCUGCAUACGGUGGCAGCUAGCGCUACCGUUUGACGCGGUGGAGGAGGGAGCCACCGCGGGCAAAGACAGCCUCCACGGUAGCCGAGCUAUGUGCGAGCUCAAGUGCCAGCAUCAUCAUGAUCCAGUGAACAAGAAGCGGUGCGUCGACUUCUGCAUACGGUGGCAGCUAGCACUACUGUUUGACGUUAAGGAGGAGGAUGGAGCUAGCGCCACCGACACCAUCACCGCUGGUGAGGUCGGCGUCUGCGCCAACCGGCGUAUAUGCAAGAUCAAGUGCCAGCACCAUCACGACCAGGUGAACAGCAACCGGUGCACCGACUUCUGCAUAGGGUACCAAGUGGCACUAGAUGCCAUUAUGGAGAAUGGAG